CGGGCGCGUCAUCCUCCGGGGGCGGGGCCCGGGCCGCAUUGUCUCGUCUAGGGCCGGCUGGACGCCCCAGAGGCCGGACCUGGGCAACCCCAGCCUGGAGGUGCCGGGGCCGGAGCUCCCAGAGGGCUGGGUGCGAGGCCUAGGCGGGGUCAGGUUCGGGUUCCUAGGCCAUAGCGGAGCUGCAGCCCAGGCGGCCGGAGCGGAACCCAGCCCCGCUCCGAGUGCCACGUCUCCAGGAACCCCCUCCUUACUCUUGGACAACACUCCGCCCCCGCCCGGGCCUCCGUCCCCCAAACCGCCCUCAUUUGUGCAGCGCCAGAUCCUUCGGACACAUCCCUAGGUGUCUCCAUCCUCAUUCGGUCCAUCCAACUCCCAGACCUCACGUCAACCGGCUGCACCCCACUUUCCAGCCUGCGCCCCAGAUCUGCAGCCUUCGCCCCUAGAUACACCCGCCUGGUGAUGAGGCGCUCCUCGCGUUCCUUCCGGUAACCGCGUUGCGAAGACCACGCUGCCGGGUUGCAAACUUGGGGGGACUUCCUCCCUCCCCUCCCCCUGGGCGCCGUGCAACUGCCCUGGGACCGGGUUCUGGGAUGAGGGGGGCAGACCGGGCUCCCCAGCGGCCGGCGCAGCACGUAGCGCACGUGUAGGGUCCGCUCCCCACCCCCUCGCCGCCUCUGACAACUUUUCAGGGCUCCAGGUGUCCGUGAGCCUCCCUUCCGCCCUGGCCUCCGGUCUCUGCCUUGCUCGUGCUUCUACCACCACCCUUCCCCUCCCAACCCGGUGGAUCCUCUCGUCUCCCCCAGUCUCCAGUGCACCGGCUUUCCCUCGUCCUCUGCGCAGUCCAUCUCAGCUCAUCUCUCCAAUUCAAUGCCAUCAUCUCUCCUCACCAUCUCUCGGUGCCCUGGAAUGUUUGCUGUCAGAUGUCCCCUGUGAAACCCACAAACGCUUGCGAUUUGGCCUCCUUGUUUUAUUUUGUGUAGUCCUACAACGUCUUGUUACUACCCCCUAUUACAACACUUAUAACUCAGUAUUUGUCUUUUUUCCGCGGUGUCCCUGCACUCUCCCCAUACAUAUUCCUCUCCUGCCAGAUUGUAAGCCUCUAGAGGGAAGAAGUAAUGUCUCUCUCCUUGGCACCAGGCACGUGGCACACGCUCCACAAAUAUUUGUUGAAAGGGAGGGUAAAUGGCCUUGAGUUUCUGUGGCUACCAUUGGCUGAGGAUGGAGCUUUGGGCUGGACAAAGAAGAAUCUGGUUGACCACAUGAAGCAGGAAGGAGGCUCAGAACGGUGUUGAGGGAGCCUCCACAAUGGGUGGGCACCACAGUGGCACCACCAGCACCCCUAAUUUGGGUCUCUGGGCUGAGGGGCCCCUGGCAGCAUGCUCAAUGGCCUUGGAUAGCUGGAAUGUUUGGAAUUGCCUGCAUCUUGGAUGAAAGUCUUAACAAUAGAAUGAAAACUGCUGCAACACUGUGUCAGCACUUUACAGACCACCACUGUAAAUUCCCAGUUGAAACUGGGAAUUUGGAAUUCCAUGUUCAACCAAAUCAUGCUGAGUGCCCAGCACAGCGUCUGACACACUAAAUGCUACAGGUGAAUUCCCUUUUUCCUCUUUCCUGGCAGGAAGCGGGGAUAGGGGAACCACUAGAAAUACUGUAAUAACAUGAAUAAGACAAGGCCAUUAGCCGGGAGCAAAUCAUAGAACAUCAGCCCUGUGAAAUGAGUGGUAUUAGUGUUACCAUUUUUCAGAUGGAGAAAUUGAGACUCAGAAAGGUUAAUUAGCCAAAAAUCACACAGACAGUAAUAGCAGAGCUAGGAAAAGAAUGUUCAUCCUAGUACCUAACUUUGAUCUUCCCAAAACACCAAACUGACUUCUAAAGCUGAAGAAAGAGGACACAGAAGCUUCAUCUCAGAUCUCACCACCAGCUGCCCCUUAAUCUGCCAACAUCGAACCAUUCUCUCCCCUCUAGACUACAGUGGCUUCAAACUUUGACUUAUCUCCAGUAUUUUUUUGUACAUAGCAAUAGCAACAAAAGUUUCACAAAACAAUAUUACCUUUGUAUGGCCAGGCACGGUGGCUCAUGCCUGUAAUCCCAACAUUUUGGGAGGCCAAGGCGGGCAGAUCAUGAGGUCAGGAGAUCAAGACCAUCCUGGCCAACAUGGUGAAACCCC
rnacentral:lncRNA from 1 species